rnacentral:tRNA from 1 species
GCCUGGGUGGCUCAGUCAGUUAAGCGUCUGACUUCAGCUCAGGUCAGGAUCUUGUGGUUUGUGGGUUCAAGCCCCGCAUCGGGCU